AUUGAACGCUGGCGGCAUGCCUUACACAUGCAAGUCGAACGGCAGCACGGGAGCAAUCCUGGUGGCGAGUGGCGAACGGGUGAGUAAUAUAUCGGAACGUGCCCAGUCGUGGGGAUAACGUAGCGAAAGCUACGCUAAUACCGCAUACGAUCUAUGGAUGAAAGCGGGGGAUCGCAAGACCUCGCGCGAUUGGAGCGGCCGAUAUCAGAUUAGGUAGUUGGUGAGGUAAAGGCUCACCAAGCCGACGAUCUGUAGCUGGUCUGAGAGGAUGAUCAGUCACACUGGAACUGAGACACGGUCCAGACUCCUACGGGAGGCAGCAGUGGGGAAUAUUGGACAAUGGGCGAAAGCCUGAUCCAGCCAUGCCGCGUGUGUGAAGAAGGUCUUCGGAUUGUAAAGCACUUUAAGUUGGGUAGGAAGGGUAGUAACCUAAUACGUUGCUACUUUGACGUUACCGACAGAAUAAGCACCGGCUAACUUC
rnacentral:rRNA from 1 species